rnacentral:rRNA from 1 species
CACGGGGGGAGCAAGCGUUGUUCGGAAUCACUGGGCGUAAAGGGCGUGUAGGCGGUUCGGUAAGUGGGAUGUGAAAUGCCCCGGCUCACCCGGGGAUCGGCAUCCCAAACUGCCGGGCUUGAGUAUGGGAGAGGAUGGAGGAAUUCCUGGUGUAGCGGUGAAAUGCGUAGAUAUCAGGAGGAACACCGGUGGCGAAGGCGUCCAUCUGGCCCAAUACUGACGCUGAGGCGCGAAAGCUAGGGGAG